CACUCCUUGCCUUCAUUCUCUGUUUCUUCAGCCACCAAAGUGAGGAGAAUUCAUUAAGCUGCUGCUCUGCCAACUUGAAGAGUCCCCAUCGUCUGCAUUCAAUAUCAAUAACAACAGCCACCAACACCAAAUAUUUGCAGGUUAAGCGCAAGGGUAAGAGCUAGUCAAGGAGUUACUGAACUGUAGCAAAGCUUUGCUAUCAGGUUAAGCAGUGGCUGAUGAAGAUGAAGUGAAGAGCAGAGCUUUUGUCAUAAGUUAAAUGAAUGAACUCUUGGAUACAUGUCUUCAUACAUGUAAUCAGAUUAUGUUAUUCCGUUGCAUACUCUUAGGUUUUAUGUCCUUUUAGUUAAGUCGGAUUCAUCUGAACUUACAAGUCUGUUUGAGUCUUUGUGACUAAACAUCAGUUAUAUUGAAUUUUCCCUUCUUUAACAA